GCUGAGUGCUGAGACUGUUGCCUAUAAGUCUGUAGUAACCCUGUGUUGAGUUGAUGAAGGUUGGAGGUUUUUAUAUGAAGAGAGAGUUUGUACAUAUUGUAAAUACUGUCCACCCCAUGAACAAUCUUGAUUUUUGGACUAUUCUGGAAAUUUAACUGUUUCAACGUGUAUUGCUAUUGGAGACUGCCUGACCCAAACAGAGGAUUCUUCUCCACCCCUGCAAGCAGCUCGCCUGACAAUGAAAAACACCUCCACUUCUUCUGUAACUGAUUUCCCACUGCCUCAGAGGUGCUUUAUCUGAAGUGGAAGAGAACCACCUGUCAAUGAUCUAAAAUGGGAUUAGUCCUACAUCAAAAUCAUUAUCACUGGGCAUAUUGACUUGGGCAAAUCCCUCACUGCUGGUUAUCUGAUUUAAAAAUGUGGUGGGAUUGACAAAGAGGAUCACCAAGAAAAUCAAGAUGGAAGCUGGUGACAUGGACAAGUGUUCCUUCAAAUAUGGAUCAGUGUUGCACAAGUUGAAGGCAGAAGAUAAACCUGCAAUGUUGUUGCAAGGUAUUGCUGAAUGCUAUUUGACAUAAUGUGAAUGUUGGGGUAUAGGUGAGAGGCCAUUAUCAGUUCUGUAUCACCAAUAUGACACCCACAGCUCCAUCCUUAAUCAGAGGAGGCUAUUUGAAGUAUUUUUGUGUCCCCUCCCAUUCCAUAAUGGCUCCAAAACUAAUGAACAAAUAAAAAACAAAAUUCAAACAAUACAAUUAUUAUUUUUAAAAAGCACAUUAAAAUGGUCUUCAAACUUCCCCUAAAUGUAGGUGACCUUUGUGGUUCUAAAACUUGCAGAAAACCAUUUCUUGAGGGGGGAAAGGUGGAUGGGGGGGGGGGGCAAUGUAUUUCCUUGAAGUAUUAAAGGAACUCACAUUUUAACUUGCCACCUGCCCUUUAUUUUUUUCUUUCCCCUUUGCUAAACUUGGACAAUUCAUGAAGUCCUUAGAGGACCCUGUGGUUGAAAAUUGGUCCAUAUUGCCAUGACAGUUGCUCACCCAGGUGUCCGCCACACCCUGAAAUAUUAAUGUGUUUUCAAGUUUUUUCCUUGUUUAAAAAAUGAAAAAUUGCUUUUCUCCCAAUUAUUGAUUUAAGUUGUUUUAAGCUUAAUCUUAUGGAGCCUUGUAGUUUGCAAUAUUCUUACUUUUGUAGAACCAUCACUUUGUAAUCUUUUAUAAACCACACCAGGGUUUUGUUUUUAAAAUGUGGUACAUUAAUGCUUUACAACAACUGACACAAUAUAUAUAUUACAAUCUGACAAAAGUUAAGUGUGACCCAUUGGAAAAAGGUUUCACUCCUCAAAAUUUCAUUUAUCUGCUUUGGCUGGACUGAGGCUCCAUCUGCAUUAUUUGGUCAGUGUGGACCUAAUGCAGUUCAAUACAGUUAAAUGAGUCCCCUUGGGGAGAUAGGGUACAAAUAAAAUAUGAUUAUUCUGUGUCUAUUGGCUGUUAGGAGCUGUAGUCCCAAAACACCUGGAGGGCUGAAGUCUGCCCUUGCCUGGUCUAUACUGACCAGUUCCAGACGACAUAUGGCAGUGUAGAUUCAACCCAAGUCUGUUAUGUUGCCAUGAGAAGUAUGAGUUUUACUGUGUUACUAAAUCAGUUUCUAAGAGUAUAAUCCAAUGUAUACCUGUAUUGUGUGAUCCAUACUGAAUCCCUAAAACUUUUUUUUUAAAUCCCACUUUUAUUAUCACAAUUCUCCGUGACACAACUUAAGAAGAACUUGGUAUAUCAGAAUUUACUAAGAAAGUCACUAAGAAAGGGGUAUAAAACAUGAUGUAACCAGGACAUGGAAAGUGGGGUUUUCAUUAUUUCCUGGUACAGUUGGCGGGACGAGAGGGAGGGCUUUCUCGGUGGUGGCUCCCUGGCUCUAGAAUACCCUCCCUAGAGAGAUUAGGUUAGCCCCAACUCGCCAUACCCUUUGGUCUAGCCUAAAAACUUGGCUUUUUAAAUAUUUAUUAUUUUGGCACUUUAGCCCAUGACUUUAAGAAGCCUAGUUACCACAGGCAUUUUAUAAUUAUUAUUUUUUUUACUUUUUAUCAUCUGAUAUUCUUUGCUCAUUUGUAUUCAGUCUAAUUGUGUGUAUUGUUUUUAUGCUAUGUAAUUUUUUUUCUGUCUGUAGCACCUUGGAGUGCUUUUGUGAGCUGCCCAGAGUGGUGGGGUAUAAAUAAAGUUGUUUAUUAUUACUAUUAUUAUUAUUAUUAGAACAGGAAAUAGACUUACAUAGCAUAAAAACAAUAUACACAAUUAGACUGUGGUGGCUCCCCGGCUCUGGAAUACCCUUCUAAGAGAUUAGAUUAGCCCCCACCCUUCAAUCCUUCCGAUCCAGCCUGAAAACAUGGAAGUUCAAACAGGUUUUUGACCUCGAGUAGUCUGGAAUGGGCCCGUCCAAGGUUGACACUCUGGCACUUUUGUUGUGAAUUCAUGGCAGCUAGUAUCAACAGAAGUUUUGUGUUUUAAAAUUGUGCUAUUUUGAUAAUAUGCUUUAUUUGUGAUCGUGGUGAUACUGUUUAUUUAUGAUACUGUUUUUUUUAAACUCAUGUAUAUUUUAAUGUUAUAUGUUGUGCCCUGGAGUGCCUUUGUAGGCUGCCCUGAGUCCCUAUGGGGAGAUGGUGGCAGGAUAGAAAUAAAGUUUUAUUUAUUAUAAAGGCUAAAAACCUAUUACAUUUUAACAGUGUGAAGGGGAAAAAUAAAAUCCAAGUGGAGUAAAAGAAA